rnacentral:rRNA from 1 species
UACAGAGGUCUCAAGCGUUGUUCGGAAUCACUGGGCGUAAAGGGUGCGUAGGCCGCACGGUAAGUCAGAGGUGAAAUCCCGGAGCUCAACUUCGGAAUUGCCUCCGAUACUGCCGUGCUUGAGGACUGGAGAGGAGUCUGGAAUUCACAGUGGAGCAGUGAAAUGCGUAGAUAUUGUGAGGAACACUAGUGGCGAAGGCGAGACUCUGGACAGUUCCUGACGUGAGGCACGAAGGCCAGGGGAGCAAACGGG